UUUGUCAGGCCUCCGCACGCUCCUCCGGUGAGGCCGAGGCAUCUGCCGACUCCUCCAGCGCAAGCGCCGCACCUCCCUGUUGCUUCUCUACCGCCGCCUCCUCCUCUCCCUCCCUAUAGUCCCUUCGUGAGCGCCACCUCGCCCAGCCCGCAUCGCGACUCUGCCGGGACAACGCGCUCCGCCCCCAAAUUCCACGCGCCGCCGAAUUCCAUGCGCUGCCGCACCGAAUCCGAAGACGGCCGCCCUCUUUUCCCCAUCCUGAAGCCUAGCCGCAUGCUGCCUUUGCUCGCUGCCGUCGUGCCGCAGCGCUGCCUGGUUCUUCAUGAGAGAGAGAGAGAGAGCGAGAGAGGAGGGAGGGAGGGAGGGAGAGGAGAGGUGCUCCUCCUUGGCGGCUCCCAUUCCGUUUCGACAGCGCCGGAGCCUCCCUCAUAGAUGAAAAUUCACCUUAAAAUUAUUGGAUUGUUGGAUUCUAUUUUUAUCUAUCUAUUUGCAUAUAUGAAAAUUGUAUGUCGUAUGCAUAUCAUAAAUCCACAUUACUGGUUAACCUAUUCAUAAGCCCAAAAAUAAUAAUGAUUUCUUGCAACUGUGCUUUUGUAAUAAUAAUCCUUUCCCAAAUGCAGAUGAGCAAUGAAUAAGAAUUUGGGUCAAUCAAUUGCACACCUCAAAGAAGUUUUAAGGAGCUAGAAAGGAUAAUGAGGUUUUGGAGCCUCAUUGCCAUUUCUAACCCAGGUGCACAAACUGUAAAGACUAGGCAAGACUUGUGGCUAACAGGGCAAUGAGAACCUGGAAGAAGGUAGUUCUACAAUGUUAUUCAAUUGUGAAUGGACUUAAUAAAUACUAAAUAUCAAACUUAUCCUGCUCUAAGUAGUGAUUUAGUAUAUAUGAUGUUAAUCAUGCAUUGCAGCCUGCUUAGAAAGCAUACGGAUUUUAGGAUUCGAGAGUGAGAUAGACCAUGGAAAAUAUAAGCAUAGAAAGCAUAUAUGAGAACUGAUAUACAACCAUUUUUAAUCAUAAGCCACUACUACUGCUUUUUAGACAGUUUUGUGAUGAUGAUACAUUGGCACUUUAUUAAAGAAUUAUAGUAAUUUCAUAAUAUUACGAAAAAUAGUGGAUAGAUUUACAAUGCCAAAAUCAGACGCCCAUACCUAAUUCUAACCACAAAAAUAUUUUAUUGGAGUUUUCAGAAUUCAAAGCCAAUAGGGUGCUUCCAAAUGUUCAAUCAUGUCAGUUUUUCCCAGAAGGGCCUUAUUGUUAAUCAUAUUGUUCAUGAACUUUUCAAAAUGCUGAAAUUAGAUUAAGAAUCACAUCUUGCUAAUAAAAGCAAGAUUAGAGAAAUAUAAAACAACUUGAUCAUAUUUUUCUUAUCACUAGGUUAUAAUAUUUCACACACUAACUCUUUCAAAUAGUUCACGCAUAUUUCAUCAAUUGCAAUGAAUUAUGGAACCAUAAUGGUCAAUUAUUUGAGUUUACUUUCCUAAAACAUUCUUAUGAGGUAAAGUAACUGAAGGCCAGACAGUUGACUAGAUGAGGAUCAUCAUUUUGGUAAGCCAGUAGGAAAAAAAAGGGAAUAUGGUAGCUUCUGACUUUUAGUGGGUACAACCAAAUAAAAGACUUAUGAAUGUAAAAUUGCGAUAAAUUAUGUUAAACACGUAGUUGUUAAAAUUAUACCGUUUAUUACAUAUAAAAAAUAAUUAUGUUUGCAUUCUAAUUUAAAUUUCUUAAUAAUUUUAUUCUCUAAUACAAUCAAAGAAAUAUGUAAGCUAAACACUAUAGAGGACGGUUAUGGUCUCGCGAAUGCUUGACUGCAUAAGCUAGUUUUAGAUGACUGGAAUUCUUUAAAGACUUAACCAAAAUCAUCUGUUAGACCAAUCACCAAACGUACACCCGCAUUGCAUGCACUGUUACUCUGCUAGCUAGGAUGGGCUGGGCCAAGCAAAUCGGGAUGUAAUACUGAUUGCUCCAAAUAAUAUUUUUUUAAAAAUAAUUAAAUAAGAUGCAUGAAACGUUGGCUUUUAAAUUGUCGAUCAGAUAGGCGACCAGAGACCACACAUAGAAGUCAUCGAGGAGCGCGAAACAGACUAUUCAAUUAACUUAUACUCCCUCUGUUUCACAAUAUAAGACUUUCUAGCAUUGUCCACAUAUAUAUAGAUGUUAAUGAAUUUAAACACAUACAUAUGUCUAGAUUCAUUAACAUAUAAAUGAAUGUAGGCAAUGCUAGAAAGUCUUACAUUAUGAAACGGAGGAAGUAAUAAGUAGAGAAAAUAACACGAUUGCUCCUAAUCUAUAUUACCAAUUUUGUUUAAAAUUAUUCUAUGAUUACUCAUCCUAUAAGAAAAGGCUUCUUUUAGCCUUCCAUUGAGAAAGAACACUGCUACACAUACUUAAAAUAGAAUAUUACAAAACUUUUAUAAAUAAUUAAUGAUCUUAACCAUUGAUUUAACUAGAUAAGAGUCAUAAAAAAUCUAGAAGAACUCUCAACACUCUCAACAUGACACGUAUUAGUAAGAGUUUAGUAAGAAAUUUUAGGUUUUGUUUGUCACAACUCUAGAUUUCAAAUCCACCUUGGAUUUUAGUUUGUAUGUUAAAUUAUAGUGGUUUAAAAUUUUAUAUUUCAUCUGAAAUGAAAACAAAACGAUUCAUCCAAAUAUUAUCAAUGUAAUCGUUGAUAAAGUCCAUGGAUUUAUGAAGCCAAGAAUAAUCAGCUCCAAAAAUUUCUGAAUUCGGUGUUGCACCAAAUAAGGUAUGUAAAUCCAUUUUUAUUGACAAAGACUAUGACCAAAAUGUCUGUCAUUAUUAAUAAGAAAAUAGUAUUAAUAUGUUUUUUUGACGGGAAAACAGUAGGAGAGGCUCCUACUGUGAUAUAUUAAAGGAGUUUAUGUACAAGAGUUUAUAUACAGGGGGCUGGAAAUGUUACAAAUUGUCAAGCCAUGAUUUCCAGAGUGGACGUUCAUGCACUUUUAUCCUAUUCAAAAGUAGAAUAAAAUCUUCUCGGAAGCAGAAUUUCCAGAGGUUGAAAGAUGGCUAGAUCGUUUCUGAAGAUAAGAUCGUUUCUUCGCUUCCAAAUGUUUCAAAAAGCUAUAGCAAUGACUUCAAUAAAGAAAGAGUGAGCAAAGUCUCUUUUAGCUGUGGUUACCAUGUUCAUGAAUUCUCGAGUUGUGUGCCAACGGAUAUGAAGGAAUGUCCAACAUUGUACGGCGAAGGAGCAAGUGAAGAACAGGUGACUUACAUUGAAAUUCUUUCUGUGCAUCAAGUCUUUUGUGUUAAGACGAUCCAUCAUGAGGAGCCAUAGGAAAACUUUUAGUUUCAUAGUGCAUUUGCUCUUCCAGAUAAGAGUGAGAGGUAUAUCUGGUGUAAUAUGGGCAAAGAAUAAUGAGUACAUUUUCUUUGCUUGGAAAGAUGGGCAGCUCCAUUUGUAAUGCCAGUUGUCAUCUGAGUUGUUCAAGCUCGUGUUCUGAAGGCUGGACUGCAGUAAAUUCCAAUCUUACAUUGCUUGCGCAGAGAGGUAGGUGGAACAAUUUUUGGAGGGAUUGAUCAUUUAAGAAUCCAAAAACCGAGAUGUCUUCAUUUCUAGAGAAAGAGAACAGGGUGGUGAACCUCUCUGCCAGUGAAUUUCCAGUCCCAUUCCAAUCAUCCUUCCAAAAAACAGUCGUGUCUCCACUAUUGAUUUUAGUUAUUGUGAUCGCUCUGAAUAGGGGGAUAAGUCUGAAAAUGUCCUUCCACCAAAAAGAUCAUUUUUCUGUAUGAGCAUGUGGAGGUAGAUCUGCAUUGAGGUAAUAUUUUCUCCAUAUUAGUUUGACCCAAGGGAGAUUGUGUUUGUUGUAGAAUUUAUCCAGGUGCUUUGUCAAGAGAGCAAUGUUUUGGUAUUCAAGAUCUAUAAUCCCCAGACCACCUUUGUCUUUGGGUUUACAGACUAAGUUCCACGAAGCUAGAGACUGUGACUUUUCAGUGAUAUUUGAUGAUUUCCUCCAUAAGCAGUGCCUUCUUGCCUUGUCAAUGUGUGAUAUAACCUUUUUUGAUAAUCUGAGUGUGCACAUGUAAUAUGUGGGAAAUGAGGAUAGGACCGAAUUAACCAAAGUCAGACGUUGCCCAUAAAUGUGUACUCUGUAUCCUAGUUUGGGUAUUUCUUUUGGUGCUGUGGGUGUUUUCAAUGUUUCAUUGAGCUACACUCUUUUUUGAUUAUUAGACUGUAAUAAUUGGCUAUAGCUCUUUCGAGCAAAGGCCGGGAUAUUUUUUUCCAUUAUCUAAAAAAAAACCAGAGUCAGACGUUGCCCAUAAUUAAGAAAGGUUCCGAUGGGUGACAUUCUUCUUUCCACUCUAUCAAGCAAAGGAGCAUAAUCCACUAUUUCUUGGCUUGGCAUGUCCCAUGGGUAGCCCCAGAUAAGUGAAGGGUAGAGAACCAAUUUGGCAGCCUAAAGUUCCAGCUAGGAUCUGCAAUUUCUCUUCAUGAUCAAUGAUGGGAAUCAUACAUGAUUUAUGAAAGUUGACUUUUAGACCAGCGAUUUGAGCAAAAAGUUGUAGAAGAGCUUUGAGACAGAAGAUUACUAAUCAUCAGUUUCAUGAAUCAAUUUGAAAGAGACACAUACUGGUUUUCAUGGACAAUUUGUAAGAUUACUAAUUGAAGUCUAUUCAGCCAUGAUCUUUGUCACAAAUUUUAGAGAGGAGUUUUGAAGGGCAAUUGGUCUGUAAUCAUUAGCCGACUCUGGAUUUUGCUUUUUCAGAAUGAGGGUGAUGUACUGAUGUUAGAGGUGUUUAGAUUCUGGAUAGAAAUUUGUUCCUCGAAGAAACCCUUGGCUAGGUUAUAGUAAUCCUCUGAAAUAAUAUCCCAACACUUUUGAAGGAAAAGGCCAUUGAAGCCAUCUAUGCUAAGAGCUCUGUCUGUGGGCAUUUUCUUGAUGAUGUUGUCCAUCUCUUCUUUGGAGGGAGGAAGAGAUAGGCUUUCCAAGUUGUCUGUUCUUUGAAUCAGGGUUGAAAGGUCUAUGAAGAUCUCGAGUUCAGCAGAGGUACUCAUUCUUUCUUUGUAGGUGUUGUACAGAAUUGAAGCUUUGUCGACAUGGGAGGUUACUGUGAUGCUGUCAUCUAUGGAAAGAUGAUAUAUUUUGUUUCUUCGGUGACGAUCAGUGGCUGAAGCUUGGAAGAAUUUGAUGUUCUCAUCUCCAAAUUUGACAUAUCGAAUGGUACACCUUUUUUUUCCAGAAUUCGUUUUUGUAUCUCAACAGAUUCAGGAUGUGCAGCUUUAUGAUCUUUCUGAAGUUAAAUUCCUGAAUAAAGAGAGGUCUUUUCUCUUCCAGUA